rnacentral:misc_RNA from 1 species
GGAGACAAUUUUGGAUAAGGAAAAUUUUGCACUGGAUGAGCUCUUGGACGAGGAUGAAAUAAUUCAAGAAUGUAAAGCUCUUAAUGGACGCCUUAUUAACUUUCUGCGAGAAAGAGCUCAAGUUGAACAACUUGUCAGGUACAUAGUGGAAGAGGCUCCAGAAGAUGCAGAGAAGAAACGAACUUUUAAGUUUCCUUUUAUUGCUUGUGAAAUCUUUACAUGCGAGGUGGACAUAAUUCUUAAAGCAUUGGUUGAGAAUGAGGAGCUAAUGAACCUGCUAUUCUCAUUUUUGGAACCUGAGCACACACAUAGUACUCUGUUGGCCGGUUACUUCAGCAAGGUUGUCAUAUGCUUGUUGCUGCGGAAAACAUCAGCUUUUAUGAACUACGUACAAGCUCAUCAAGAUAUUAUCAAGAAGUUGGUUGAUCUCAUUGGAAUUACAUCCAUCAUGGAGGUGUUAAUCCGCCUAAUUGGCACCGAUGAACAUUUGUAUAGCAACUUCUCGGAGAACAUGCAGUGGUUGGAAGAUACAAAUGUGCUGGAGAUGAUCGUUGAUAAGUUUAGCUCAUCAAUAGUACUGC